rnacentral:tRNA from 1 species
GGGGCUGUGGCUCAGCGGUAGAGCACUUGCCUAGCAUGUGCAAGGUCUUGGGUUCGAUCCUCAGCACCA